UACGUAGGUGGCAAGCGUUACUCGGAAUUACUAGGCGUAAAGCGCAGGUAGGCGGUUUGGCAAGUCCGUAAUGAAAUCUCCCGGCUUAACUGGGAGGGGUUUAUGGAUACUGCCAGGCUCGAGUGUGGUAGAGGUAACUGGAAUUCCCGGUGUAGCGGUGAAAUGCGUAGAGAUCGGGAGGAACACCUAUGGCGAAAGCGGCACCCUAGCGUUAGCCUGACGCUCAUGUGCGAAAGCGUGGGGAGCGAACGGG
rnacentral:rRNA from 1 species